GUCAUGCAGCAGAAAGAUUGUCCGGUUUGGCCAAUGUACAUGGCGAGGGGCAUUGCUGGCACUUGAUGGCAUAUAUGACAUUAAUACAUGUGCAGGCGAACGAGCCUC